GGCGCCAUAACAGAUUCUCUAGUGAGCCAGGCAGGAGCACAAGGAGCAUUUUCUUUCCCGGCAGGGAGGCUUGUGAGCCAACAGCCAGAGGGAGGCGACCCCUGUGUGGGGGAUGAACAGCCAGCCCCUUUGAUUCAGCACUGCAGCAGCAACUGUGCAGGACACUGGUCAGCAGAACCUGGACCUGGUGUAAGGUUCAAGAAAAAAAAGAAACCACCCAAGCUGGCAUUCGGUUUUGGGGAGAAGUUCCCUUCGCUGGCCACGCCAGCCCUUUUGUGUGACCUGUAUUGCGCUGUGCGGGGCUAGGAGCACUUCAACUCUCUUUUCCUCACCUGACGCCUGUGCUUGCACCCUGCCCUGGCCCUUUAAUAAGAUAAGCGGACACAGGAGGUACAGUCAUGGGCAAUGCCCCAGGCAUCUUCCAAGACUCACGUCUGGGAGGUAUCAUUUCUAAAUGGAAGGAAUUCAAAUCAGACGAUUUAAAGAAAAAGAAACGCCAGCCUGGGAAACACAGGAAGACCCCACCUCUACAAAAAACAGGAAAAAUGAGCCGGAAGUGGGGGUGCCUGCCUGUGGUCCCAGCUACUCGGAAGGCUAAGGUGAGAGGACAGCUUAAGCCCAGGAGGUUGAGGCUGCAGUGAGUUGUGGUUGCACCGGAGCACUCCAGCCUGGGCGACACAGUGAGACCCUGUCUCAAAAAAAGUUUUUUUUAACUAAAAAAAAAAAAGAAACUGAUUUUCUUCUGUAAUACAAUCUGCCCCAAUAGACAUCAGAGCAAGAAAAAUAGCCAUGGGUGGAAGUGGAUCUACUAGUUUCAACACUAUCCUACAGCCGGACCUAUUCUGUGAAUGGACAGAGAAAUGGGGAGAGAUACUUAGGUACAAGCUUUUAUGAAAUUAUACUAGGACCCAAGGCUGCUGGAUUCUUGUCAGGUGUGUGUGGCUCCUAUUUCCAGGUUCCUCCUGAAGGAACCUGAGGAAGUGGACCUCCAGGCUCAGACCCCUGGAACUCUUCCCUACCCUACCCUCUCAGGGAGGGAAGCCCCUGGGCUGUCCCCAACAGUGCUCCGAUCAGACUCCGAACCGGCACCCUCUUUUGCUUCCCCACUUGCCCAGAGCUGUUUUCCUCUCAGAAAAAUGAAUGGAAACAAGGGAGUGACAAAGGUGCAUGUUCCUUUUUUGGUGGUGGAUCUAGGACUAUGUAAAGAAAACUUUGGUAGAUUUUUCAGAGGAUCCUGAUAAGUUUAGAGAUGAAUUUGUUAAACUAAAUUUCACCUUUUCAUUGACAUGGCAGGAUGUUAUGGUUUGCACUACUGAUGAAAAGGAAUGCAUAUUUGAAAAGGCUAAGGAAUAUGCCAAUAGCCAGGUGGUCACUAAACCCCAAUAUGCAGUUCCAGGCAUAGUCUCCAUGCAAGUGAGACUAUGAAGAAAACCUAAAUAAAGCUAGAAGGAACCACUCUGUUACCUGCCUAACUGAAGGAAGAAGGGAAUGUAUAGUAAAACCUGUACACUAUGACAGGGUCAAGAAAAUUACCCAGAGAAAGAAGGGGAUUCCAGCAGUCUUCCUCAAUCAAGUCCCUAAGGCCCUUGGGAAAUGCACUCACGAAAACCCAGAGGCAGCAGAGGGGAGGCAUCAUGUGCCGUGUAUUUGAUCCUUCACUCAGCUCUGGACAUCAGGAGGAAAUUAAGGAAAAUUUGGAGGUCAGACCCCAGACCCUGCUGUUGACCUUGGCAGAGGAGGCUUUUAAGGUUUUCAGUAACAGGGACUAGACAGAGAAGGCAGAUGAGAAAAGGAGAUUGGCCAAGACAGUGCAGCUUCUGGCUACCCUAAUUCAUCCACCACCUCAGGGUGACCCUGGGAGGCCCACGAGACCAACCCAUCAAAGACAGCUGACUUUGGAUGGAGCCAAUGUGUGUCUUGCAGGACGGAGGGUCACUGGAAGAGGGGCUGCCCUGACCACGCUAAAACAGGAAAGCUGGCAGGCAAUCCUGGCCAGCCUCCCCUCCUCACCAAGCUUUCAAAUGAGAUUGAUACACACUGACUGACAGCACCCUGCCUCUGACUGCAGCAUACUCCAUCGUUAUCACACCGCGGAGCUUUGGGUCACCCUUGACGUGGCAGGUAGGAAAGCUGAGUUCCCCGUGGACACCAGAGCUGCCUGCUCUGUCCUGACGCUGCCUAUUCACCCCUCUCCAAUUGCAACUGCAUGAUAACCGGAAUAGACACGUGUCCUAAGGUAAAAAAACUAACUUUCCCUCUUGCUCGUGAGGCCAUGUCUAGGAUUAUUUCUCACUCAUUUCAGUAUGCCCUGGAAUGUCCUACUCCAUUGCUGAGUAGAGACUUAUUAAGCAAAAUGGGAGCCACCAUCUCCCUGGAAGAGGACAGAGUGCAGGUAGAGGCAGAGCCAGAACAGGGAAUCCACCUGCUAGCACUCUUAGAUGGACAGGAACUGGAGAUGGCAAACAUUCCCAAAGAAAGCAAGGA